rnacentral:rRNA from 1 species
ACGCACGCUGGCGGCACGCUUCACACAUGCAAGUCGCACGAGAGAAGAGAAGCUUGCUUUUCUGAUCUAGUGGCGGACGGGUGAGUAACACGUGAGCAAUCUGCCUUUCAGAGGGGGAUACCGAUUGGAAACGAUCGUUAAUACCGCAUAACAUAAUUGAACCGCAUGAUUUGAUUAUCAAAGAUUUAUCGCUGAAAGAUGAGCUCGCGUCUGAUUAGCUAGUUGGUAAGGUAACGGCUUACCAAGGCGACGAUCAGUAGCCGGACUGAGAGGUUGAUCGGCCACAUUGGGACUGAGACACGGCCCAGACUCCUACGGGAGGCAGCAGUGGGGAAUAUUGCACAAUGGAGGAAACUCUGAUGCAGCGAUGCCGCGUGAGGGAAGAAGGUUUUAGGAUUGUAAACCUCUGUCUUCAGGGACGAAAAAAGACGGUACCUGAGGAGGAAGCUCCGGCUAACUACGUG